rnacentral:rRNA from 1 species
AUUGAACGCUGGCGGCAGGCUUAACACAUGCAAGUCGAGCGAGCGGCGGACGGGUGAGUAAUGUCUGGGAAACUGCCUGAUGGAGGGGGAUAACUACUGGAAACGGUAGCUAAUACCGCAUACCAUCGGCUGUGCCCUGAUGGGAUUAGCUAGUAGGUGGGGUAAAGACUCACCUAGGCGACGGUCCCUAGCUGGUCUGAGAGGAUGACCAGCAACACUGGAACUGAGACGCGGUCAAGACUCCUACGGAAGGCGGCGGGGGGGAAUAUUGCACAAGGGGCGAAAGCCUGAUGCAGCCAUGCCGCGUGUAUGAGGAGGGCCUUCGGGUUGAAAAGUACUUUCGGCGAGGAGGGGUGACUCGCAGAAGAGGCACCGGCUAACUCCGGGCAAGCAGCGGCGGUAAUU